UACAGAGGGUGCAAGCGUUAAUCGGAAUUACUGGGCGUAAAGCGUGCGUAGACGGUAGCGUAAGUCGGGUGUGAAAUCCCCCGGGCUCAACCUGGGAAUUGCAUUCGAUACUGGAUAGCUAGAGUUCGGCAGAGGGAAGCGGAAUUUCCGGUGUAGCGGUGAAAUGCGUAGAUAUCGGAAGGAACAUCAGUGGCGAAAGCGGCUUCCUGGACCAGAACUGACGAUCAGGCACGAAAGCGUGGGGAGCAAACAGG
rnacentral:rRNA from 1 species